GCCGGUGGGGUCACACUGGCGAGUGGAAGUUCGCGGGUUGACCGUGCAGUUUUGCAACGGAGUUUUCCAUGGCUUCCAAGGGAACGAACGGCCCAAACGUGGAUGGUUUUUGAGAAACUAUAUGAAAAGCGCAAAAUAUUAAGUUUUCCGAAGUUUACUUCUUUGGUGACGGCACUUCCAGCCGGUCGAAGUGCUGAUUGCAGGGAUACCAACGUCGUCAGCUAUGUAUUUCAGCGCUGUUGAUUGUAGUUGGCGACUACGAGAAUGUACAGUGGGAUGUACAAAGAAGCCUCUUCGCUCCUUUGCUCAUAAUGUCCAGACUUAGACUUCCAGAAGUCCUAACCGACUUGACCUCGGUUGGCCUAAACCUUUAAAUUCUUAAGUUUUAAAGGUUCGCAUUGCGAGCGUUACCAUACUUUAGCAACUAUAUAAAACGCCUAUAACGCUUCAGACUGAUCGGAUUCCGAUCUCUCCGACCCCAAGCACGUGCAUCCAGAACGCCUUGAAGAGGGAAAAGGCCAGCAGACAAAUACAGUGGACGUUUUUGUUGGGAAGGCUGCGCUUUACUACAACAAUGAUUACACUCGGAAACGUGCUCUGGAUAAGGAGACUAUCACGAUAGUUUUACAAAAAAAUUCCCAUCACUUGGACUUGGAAGGAACAAGAAGGUACGCAUAUUUUGCGCACAAAAAAAUUUAAUAUAUACUAAUACACAAAAACAAACCUUUUUCUAAGAACUCAUUUAUUGGUCAUAAAUUCAAUGUUAUAACAAGAAAAGACAAUAUAUCCCUAGAAAACACAAGCCCAUCACAUCCUCUACCAAUCUUCCUGAAGAGGUAGCAAUUGGCUAUGAAAUAGUGUUCACACGCCCAUACAUACCACGCCCUAUGCAAUGUAAAAAAUGCCUUCGCUUCAACCAACCCCAACCUGGAUGUAAGCAAAAUAACCCUACAUGCAAAAACUGAUCUGAAACCACUCACAAAAACGACAGCAACGAAUGCAAUCAGCAACCAAAAUGCAUUAAUUGCAAGGGCAACCACAAGUCCAUGAACAGAAGGUACCCAAUCUUUCUCAAAGAACUGGAACCCGUAGCCAUUGGAAUCCCCGCAA